rnacentral:rRNA from 1 species
ACGCUCGACACCUACGAGAGGCAGCAGUGGGGAAUAUUGCACAAUGGGGGAAACCCUGAUGCAGCGACGCCGCGUGAGGGAAGAAGGUUUUCGGAUUGUAAACCUCUGUCCUUGGUGAAGAAGGAAGACGGUAGCCAAGGAGGAAGCCACGGCUAACUACGUGCCAGCAGCCGCGGUAAUCUGAGCGGGCUGGCAAGGC